UACGGGGGGGGCAAGCGUUGUUCGGAAUUACUGGGCGUAAAGGGCUCGUAGGUGGCCAACUAAGUCAAACGUGGAAUCCCUCGGCUUAACCGGGGAACUGCGUUUGAUACUGGAUGGCUUGAGUUUGGGAGAGGGAUGCGGAAUUCCAGGUGUAGCGGUGAAAUGCGUAGAUAUCUGGAGGAACACCGGUGGCGAAGGCGGCAUCCUGGACCAAUACUGACGCUGAGGAGCGAAAGCCAGGGGAGCAAACGGG
rnacentral:rRNA from 1 species